rnacentral:rRNA from 1 species
UACGUAGGUGGCAAGCGUUGUUCGGAAUUACUGGGCGUAAAGGGCGCGCAGGCGGCCUUAGAAGUCAGAUGUGAAAGCCCCGGGCUCAACCUGGGAAUGGCAUUUGAUACUCUGAGGCUGGAGUACGGGAGAGGAGAGUGGAAUUCCCAGUGUAGAGGUGAAAUUCGUAGAUAUUGGGAAGAACACCGGUGGCGAAGGCGGCUCUCUGGACCGUAACUGACGCUGAGGCGCGAAAGCGUGGGGAGCAAACAGG